rnacentral:rRNA from 1 species
UAGGGAAUCUUCGGCAAUGGACGGAAGUCUGACCGAGCAACGCCGCGUGAGUGAAGAAGGUUUUCGGAUCGUAAAGCUCUGUUGUAAGAGAAGAACGAGUGUGAGAGUGGAAAGUUCACACUGUGACGGUAUCUUACCAGAAAGGGACGGCUAACUACGUGCCAGCAGCCGCGGUAAUACGUAGGUCCCGAGCGUUGUCCGGAUUUAUUGGGCGUAAAGCGAGCGCAGGCGGUUAGAUAAGUCUGAAGUUAAAGGCUGUGGCUUAACCAUAGUACGCUUUGGAAACUGUUUAACUUGAGUGCAAGAGGGGAGAGUGGAAUUCCAUGUGUAGCGGUGAAAUGCGUAGAUAUAUGGAGGAACACCGGUGGCGAAAGCGGCUCUCUGGCUUGUAACUGACGCUGAGGCUCGAAAGCGUGGGGAGCAAACAGGAUUAGAUACCCUGGUAGUCCACGCCGUAAACGAUGAGUGCUAAGUGUUAGACCCUUUCCGGGGUUUAGUGCCGCAGCUAACGCAUUAAGCACUCCGCCUGGGGAGUACGACCGCAAGGUU